rnacentral:rRNA from 1 species
GAUGAACGCUGGCGGCGUGCCUAAUACAUGCAAGUCGAGCGAACAGACGAGGAGCUUGCUUCUUUGACGUUAGCGGCGGACGGGUGAGUAACACGUAGGUAACCUACCUAUAAGACUGGGAUAACUUCGGGAAACCGGAGCUAAUACCGGAUAAUAUUUUGAACCGCAUGGUUCGAUAGUGAAAGAUGGCUUUGCUGUCACUUAUAGAUGGACCCGCGCUGUAUUAGCUAGUUGGUAAGGUAACGGCUUACCAAGGCAACGAUACGUAGCCGACCUGAGAGGGUGAUCGGCCACACUGGAACUGAGACACGGUCCAGACUCCUACGGGAGGCAGCAGUAGGGAAUCUUCCGCAAUGGGCGAAAGCCUGACGGAGCAACGCCGCGUGAGUGAUGAAGGUCUUCGGAUCGUAAAACUCUGUUAGUAGGGAAGAACAAACGUGUAAGUAACUGUGCACGUCUUGACGGUACCUAAUCAGAAAGCCACGGCUAACUACGUG